UUCGCAAUGCCCGAAAGGGUGACGAAGCGACGCCGCGUGUGGGAAGAAGGCCUUCGGGUUGUAAACCACUGUCGGGAGUUAAGAAAUGCAAGAAUGUUAAUAGCGUUUUUGCUUGACUAAGGCUCCGGAGGAAGCCACGGCUAACUCUGUGCCAGCAGCCGCGGUAAUACAGAGGCGGCAAGCGUUGUUCGGAAUUAUUGGGCGUAAAGAGCACGUAGGCGGCUAUAUAAGUCGGUUGUGAAAGCCUUCCGCUCAACGGGAGAACAGCAUCCGAUACUGUGUGGCUUGAGUGUGGGAGGGGAGAGCGGAACUUCUGGUGGAGCGGUGAAAUGCGUAGAUAUCAGAAGGAACGCCGGCGGCGAAAGCGGCUCUCUGGCCCAUAACUGACGCUGAGUGUGCGAAAGCUAGGGGAGCAAACGGGAUUAGAUACCCCGGUAGUCCUAGCCGUAAACGAUGGGCACUAAGUAGAGGGGUUUU
rnacentral:rRNA from 1 species